UUAAGUUCAGCGGGUAUCCCUACCUGAUCCGAGGUCAACCUUUAAUGAAUUGGUUUGUUUAACGGCGUGACCGAAACGCGCACCUUUAGCGAAUAGUUUCCACAACGCUGAGGGACGAUUCGAACCAGCCGGAAGAUUUGAGGCGCGCGGCUAACCGCGUCGCCCAAUACCAAGCGAGGCUUGAGUGGUGUAAUGACGCU
rnacentral:misc_RNA from 1 species